rnacentral:rRNA from 1 species
AGUAAAAGUCGUAACAAGGUCUCCGUAGGUGAACCUGCGGAGGGAUCAUUACACAAUAACAAGGCGGGCUGGACACCCCCCGCUGGGCACUGCUUCACGGCGUGCGCGGCGGGGCCGGCCCUGCUGAAUUAUUCACCCGUGUCUUUUGCGUACUUCUUGUUUCCUGGGUGGGCUCGCCCGCCCUCAGGACCAACCACAAACCUUUUGCAAUAGCAAUCAGCGUCAGUAACAACGUAAUUAAUUACAACUUUCAACAACGGAUCUCUUGGUUCUGGCAUCGAUGAAGAACGCAGCGAAAUGCGAUACGUAGUGUGAAUUGCAGAAUUCAGUGAAUCAUCGAAUCUUUGAACGCACAUUGCGCCCUUUGGUAUUCCAAAGGGCAUGCCUGUUCGAGCGUCAUUUGUACCCUCAAGCUUUGCUUGGUGUUGGGCGUCUUUUGUCUCCAGUUCGCUGGAGACUCGCCUUAAAGUCAUUGGCAGCCGGCCUACUGGUUUCGGAGCGCAGCACAAGUCGCGCUCUUUGCCAGCCAAGGUCAGCGUCCAGCAAGCCUUUUUUUCAACCUUUGACCUCGGAUCAGGUAGGGAUACCCGCUGAACUUAAGCAUAUCAAUAAGCGGAGGA